GAUGAAGAACGCAGCGAAAUGCGAUAAGUAAUGUGAAUUGCAGAAUUCAGUGAAUCAUCGAAUCUUUGAACGCACAUUGCGCCCGCCAGUAUUCUGGUGGGCAUGCCUGUUCGAGCGUCAUUUCAACCAUCAAGCCCCCGGCUUGUGUUGGGGACCUGCGGCUGCCGCAGGCCCUGAAAAGCAGUGGCGGGCUCGCUGUCACACCGAGCGUAGUAGCAUACAUCUCGCUCUGGGCGUGCUGCGGGUUCCGGCCGUUAAACCACCUUCAUAACCCAAGGUUGACCUCGGAUCAGGUAGGAAGACCCGCUGAACUUAAGCAUAUCAAUAAGCGGAGGA
rnacentral:misc_RNA from 1 species